rnacentral:rRNA from 1 species
AAUUUCCUGAACAAGCCCCAUUCAAUCUGAUCUCGGAAGCUAAGCAGGGUUGGGCCUGGUUAGUACUUGGAUGGGAGACCACCUAGGAAGACCAGGU